rnacentral:tRNA from 1 species
GUGGCAGUAGCUCAGUGCUAGAGCUCGCGCUUCAUAAGCGGGCAGACUUGGGUUCGAUUCCCGGCUGCUUUC